UGUGCGGUCGCUUCGGACGACGUUCCAGCUCUUCGUUCCUGGAUCUUGUUUCUGAAUCUAAGCCUGUACUGAAUGUGUCUCAUUUCAGUGUCCUGGAAAUCAUAGAAUAAUCUCGUUUCUGCUCUCCACCUGAGUAAAGUCUUCUGUGUAGGAUGCUGUGUUACUCAUCCACUUCUAUUGUGGUGCACCAGGAGAUGAGUUGGAGUCUCAGUCUGAAAGGAAUGCCCAGGGAUCCCCAGGUCAGACAUUAAGCGCAGAGUGAGAAAGUACCAGAAGUGGCAUGAUGACUCAAAGCUACGUGUGGGGAAUGGAAACAGAGGGUGGACCAUAAGUCAUAAGGUUUGCAUCAAAUGAUCCUGAAGAUUUAAUGACAUUUGCUGUGAAGAUCCUGUUCCACUGUAUCCUAAAGGUGUCAGUUACAGGAGGACACUGAAGU